UACAGGGGGGGCAAGCGUUGUUCGGAAUUACUGGGCGUAAAGGGCUCGUAGGCGGCCAACUAAGUCCGACGUGAAAUCCCCAGGCUUAACCUGGGAACUGCGUCGGAUACUGGAUGGCUUGAAUUCGGGAGAGGGAUGCAGAAUCCCAGGUGUAGCGGUGAAAUGCGUAGAUAUCUGGAGGAAUACCGGUGGCGAAGGCGGCAUCCUGGACCGACAUUGACGCUGAUGAGCGAAAGCUAGGGGAGCAAACAGG
rnacentral:rRNA from 1 species